rnacentral:misc_RNA from 1 species
AACGCACAUUGCGCCCCCUGGUAUUCCGGGGGGCAUGCCUGUCCGAGCGUCAUUGCUGCCCUCAAGCACGGCUUGUGUGUUGGGCCCCCGUCCCCCUCCCAGGAAGGGGACGGGCCCGAAAGGCAGCGGCGGCACCGUGUCCGGUCCUCGAGCGUAUGGGAAGCAACUUUUUGUCACCCGCUCCUGUAGGUCCGGCCGGCGGCCUGCCCAACCCCAACCUUUUUUUAACCAGGUUGACCUCGGAUCAGGCAGGGAUACCCGCUGAACUUAA